rnacentral:piRNA from 1 species
UGUCCUUUGUUGACCUGCACUCAUUAG